rnacentral:rRNA from 1 species
CCUACGGGGGGCAGCAGUGAGGAAUAUUGGUCAAUGGGCUUACGCCUGAACCAGCCAAGUCGCGUGAGGGAAGACUGCCCUAUGGGUUGUAAACCUCUUUUGUCAGGGAGCAACGCCGGCUACGUGUAGCCGGACAGAGAGUACCUGAAGAAAAAGCAUCGGCUAACUCCGUGCCAGCAGCCGCGGUAAUACGGAGGAUGCGAGCGUUAUCCGGAUUUAUUGGGUUUAAAGGGUGCGUAGGCGGAAUGCCAAGUCAGCGGUAAAAUCGCGGGGCUCAACCUCGCUCCGCCGUUGAAACUGGCGUUCUUGAGUGGGCGAGAAGUAUGCGGAACGCGUGGUGUAGCGGUGAAAUGCAUAGAUAUCACGCAGAACCCCGAUUGCGAAGGCAGCAUGCCGGCUUCCGACUGACGCUGAAGCACGAAAGCGUGGGGAUCGAACAGGAUUAGAUACCCCAGUAGUC